UACGUAGGGGGCAAGCGUUGUCCGGAAUCAUUGGGCGUAAAGAGCGUGUAGGCGGCCAGAUAAGUCCGCUGUGAAAUCUCGAGGCUCAACUUCGAGCUGUCGGUGGAAACUGUCUGGCUAGAGUCCGGAAGAGGAGAAUGGAAUUCCUGGUGUAGCGGUGAAAUGCGCAGAUAUCAAGAAGAACACCCGUGGCGAAGGCGGUUCUCUGGGACGGUACUGACGCUGAGACGCGAAAGCGUGGGGAGCGAACAGG
rnacentral:rRNA from 1 species